ensembl:misc_RNA 7SK 7SK RNA
GGAUGUGAGGACAAUCUGAUUGCAACAUCUGUCACCUCAUUGACCACCAGGGUUGAUUCAGCUAACCUGACUGACUAGGCGGGUGUCCCCCCUUCCUCCCUUACCACUCCAUAAGAUGCAUGCCUUCCCUGAAAAGAGCAGAACCAGUGAAGGGUACACUCGCUUGCAGCCCAGGUAGAUCUUCCUGCUUUAGCCUCCCCGGUAGCAGGGCUGACAGGCCUGCCCCACCAGACCACUGAGCACCAUCUCCAUGCUCUUAGUGGCUCU